UGGGGAAUAUUGCACAAUGGGCGCAAGCCUGAUGCAGCCAUGCCGCGUGUGUGUAGAAGGCCUUCGGGUUGUAAAGCACUUUCAGCGGGGAGGAAGGCGAUAAGGUUAAUAACCUUGUCGAUUGACGUUACCCGCAGAAGAAGCACCGGCUAACUCCGUGCUAGCAGCCGCGGUAAUACGGAGGGUGCAAGCGUUAAUCGGAAUUACUGGGCGUAAAGCGCACGCAGGCGGUCUGUCAAGACAGGUGUGAAAUCCCCGGGCUCAACCUGGGAACUGCAUUCGAAACUGGCAGGCUAGAGUCUUGUAGAAGGGGGUAGAAUUCCAGGUGUAGCGGUGAAAUGCGUAGAGAUCUGGAGGAAUACCGGUGGCGAAGGCGGCCCCCUGGACAAAGACUGACGCUCAGGUGCGAAAGCGUGGGGAGCAAACAGG
rnacentral:rRNA from 1 species